rnacentral:rRNA from 1 species
GAAAUCUGGUACCUUCGGUGCCCGAGGGGGAAUUGGUAGAAGGCGACUCUGGGGCUGGUCCUUGCUCUAUGUUCCUUGGAACAGGACGUCAUGGAGGGUGAGAAUCCCGUAUGGCGAGGAUCCCAGUUCUUUGUAGAGUGCCUUCGAAGAGUCGAGUUGUUUGGGAAUGCAGCUCUAAGUGGGUGGUAAAUUCCAUCUAAAGCUAAAUAUUGGCGAGAGACCGAUAGCGAACAAGUACAGUGAUGGAAAGAUGAAAAGAACUUUGAAAAGAGAGUGAAAAAGUACGUGAAAUUGUUGAAAGGGAAGGGCAUUUGAUCAGACAUGGUGUUUUGCGCCCCUCGCCUCUCGUGGGUGGGGGAAUCUCGCAGUUCACUGGGCCAGCAUCAGUUUUGGCGGCAGGAUAAAUCCCUGGGAAUGUAGCUCUACCACUUCGUGGCGGACGAACUUAUAGUCCAGGGGAAUACUGCCAGCUGGGACUGAGGAAUGCGACUUUUAGUCAAGGAUG